UGAAUCUGAAUGUCUGCUCAUUCUCAUUC
rnacentral:piRNA from 1 species